AAUUUGUAAUCUGGCGCCUUCGGCGUCCGAGUUGUAAUCUCGAGAAGUGUUUUCCGUGAUAGACCGCAUACAAGUCUCUUGGAACAGAGCGUCAUAGUGGUGAGAACCCAGUACACGAUGCGGAUGCCUAUUACUUUGUGAUACACUUUCGAAGAGUCGAGUUGUUUGGGAAUGCAGCUCAAAUUGGGUGGUAAAUUCCAUCUAAAGCUAAAUAUUGGCGAGAGACCGAUAGCGAACAAGUACCGUGAGGGAAAGAUGAAAAGCACUUUGGAAAGAGAGUUAACAGUACGUGAAAUUGUUGGAAGGGAAACACAUGCAGUGAUACUUGCUAUUCGGGGCAACUCGAUUGGCAGGCCCGCAUCAGUUUUUCGGGGCGGAAAAUCAUAGAGAGAAGGUAGCAGUCUCGGCUGUGUUAUAGCUCUUUAUUGGAUUCGCCCUGGGGGACUGAGGAACGCAGCGUGCUUUUUGCAUGAGCUUCGGCUUAUCCACGCUUAGGAUGCGGGUUUAUGGCUGUAUAUGACCCGUCUUG
rnacentral:rRNA from 1 species